rnacentral:ribozyme from 1 species
UGACCAGCAACUCCUAUCCCUACCUCUAUGCGGUACCGGCCGGAAACUAUGAGCAACCUUAGGGAAGAUCGGGUAACCAACCCCGGUGGGAACUUUGGUCGUAGGCUGACAGGGAAGG